UACGGAGGAUCCAAGCGUUAUCCGGAAUCAUUGGGUUAAAGGGUCCGUAGGCGGUUUGGUAAGUCAGUGGUGAAAGCCCAUCGCUCAACGGUGGAACGCCAUUGAUACUGCCAGACUUGAAUUAUUAGGAAGUAACUAGAAUAUGUAGUGUAGCGGUGAAAUGCUUAGAGAUUACAUGGAAUACCAAUUGCGAAGGCAGGUUACUACUAAUGGAUUGACGCUGAUGGACGAAGCGUGGUAGCGAACAGG
rnacentral:rRNA from 1 species